UAGCUAGCUUUAGCUUUAGCUGAAUUAGCUAACGUUAAUAUUUGCUAAAACAAAACGGUACAGACUGAAUCUUUCUAACAGUUAACGUCAGAUUCAAAACACGGCUUCGCUAAAAUAAUGGGUAAUUACAGUCAAUAACACAAAUAAAACAUUGUUCUUGAUUUCAGUUUAAUUACCAAACUUAUUUUCUUCUUCUAAUAUUUAUUACAUUUUAGCUUCUAAAGAGACACAAAUACAAAAAUGUCCUCCCAACUUUGAUGUUUUGAAACUUAGAUACACUGCCUGUUGUUGGUAUAUUCACACACACACACACACACACACACACACACACACGUCAUAGUAUUGGGUCAGGAUUUCAUAGAUUGUGUAUAAGAAAGUGGAUCUAUCAGUGUAUUAAACAACUGACUAUUAAUUGCUUCUCAUGAAGUGAAAGGAAGUUUUAUCACUCUCAUACUGUGUAAUAUCCUUUACUGCCACCUGAAGGUUUCUGCAGACAGAAGAUUUCAACGAUUAAACCUUCUGCCCUCUGGCCACAGUCCUCAGCUGUCAGACAUUAAAGAAUGAGCAAAAACGUAUCAUGUUGAUGACUAUAUUUACAUAAUUUGCUGUCUAUCACAGUGUUACAGAUUUGUUCAAAUGUGUCAGGAUAAAUUAGGUAUGUACCUACACUAAGUGAUGUUGGAGAAUUAGUAGAAAGUAAAAAUAGUGUUUCUGUGAAAAUGAAACUCAAGAGACAAACGGAAGUAGUAGAGUUGCAAGCGAGUGGAGAUGAGGUAAAAGCUGUGCACACACAGCUAUGCAGUGGUUGAGGUAACACCCGGAGUAUAUAAAGCAUGUUGAGGUCUCAUCUCAGCUAUCCUUCCGUUUACCCAGCAGGUAAGAUCAGAAACUGUAACUCACUAUCAGAUGAUUUAUACUGUAGACCUUUUAAUAUUACAGUUCACAACUUAAGUUAGUUUAAGUUAAGUUGCAAUUCCUCAUUGAUGCUUUCAUAUCAUUUUUAUUUCACAGCGAUGACAGCAGCAGCUUUGUCCAGAAGCAGAGGAGUGGCUGGUGUCACAGCCACCAGAGGCCUGUUCUUCAUCUUCUCCCUGCUGUAUUUGGUUUGCCUUGCAAGUUCAUUCAUUGACGAGGACCAACUGGAAAAGCAAAAGGAAGAUCUCCAGAAAGCAGAACAACAACUGGAAAGUUUGAAGGAAAAGUACAAAUUAGAAAUGGCCUCCAGUUUAGAGCUCAUAAAUGAAUAUAUGGGCUACCUGGACCCAAUGAUAGCAUUAGUGAAGAAAGCUACUGGAACAUCACCUGAUGACUUUCCACCAGUGGAUGCACUUCUGCAGAGCGUCAAGGCCAACAUGGAGAAAACCAAGAGUUACGUGGAAGACCAAAAAGUGAAGUUAGGUGCAGAACUAGAGAACCUUGAAAAGGAUCUUGAAAAACAAAAGAAAUUGAUCAAAUUCCUUGAGGAGCAGCAGGGUGAAUUGUAACUUCCAUGUCAAUUAGUGCCUCUAUCUCUGAUAUUGCAUCUAUUGUACCUAAGUUACUACCUUAAAUUUCUCUUUGUUUGUGCAACCUCAUUUCAAAAUGAUUUUAGAGUCACUGUUGACAGGGAUGUGAAAUGUGUUGAUAUACCAACAACUUUUUUCAUACAUUACUACUGAUGUGCAGCCAUUACAAUUUAGGGAGUGGAAACAAUGGUUUUGACUAUAUUUUGACUAUGUUUUUGUUUUCUUUUGCUGCUUUAUUUUCACAAUUUCCUUCAAAACAUAAGCAUGAGCAGUUAAAUAACAAUAAUGAUUCAAAUAUUGUACAUGAAAUCAAGCAUAUGUGGAUAUCUAAUAAACUCAGUACCUUGGAAUUAUUGUCUGUCUGUUGUCUGUUCUUUCUUUACAAUCCUAAAAGAUGAGGCCCAGAGUUCUGAUAUAAAUAUUUUCUCUGUAGAGGUAAUGCCAGGCUGGUAAGUUAUCCUCUCUGUUGCUUAUAACAAAGACCAUUUUUACUCACACUGAAAGAAUUCAAGCAUAUUAUUGAGAGAGAGCAGCUCUUUGAAUUAGGAUCAAUGCUGACGUGUUUGUAGUAAUCAUACAAACAUUAUGUGAUGAUGGUUUGUGGGAUCAAA
rnacentral:lncRNA from 15 species